AUGCUCACUUCGGCACCACAUUUAUUAAAAUUGCAAUGAUACAGAGAUUAGCACGGCUCCUGAGCAAGGAUGACAUGCAAUAUAAAAUUCAAAUCGAAAAAAUGUUU